rnacentral:pre_miRNA from 1 species
AUAAUACUCCCUCCGUUUCGAAUUACUUGUCUUGAAUUUGUCUAGAUACGAAGGUAUCUAGCACUAAAAUGAGUCUAGAUACAUCCGUAUCUAGACAAAUCCAAGACAAGUAAUUCGGAACAGAGGGAGUACAUC